rnacentral:lncRNA from 10 species
CUUUUCGAGGUAGGAGUCGACUCCUGUGAGGUAUGUUUUAUCUUUGCGAAUGUUGCGGGUUUUGGGGCGCUCCAGCCUUUGUCUGCUAAGGUCACCCUGAAUUGACUGGGACUUCUAAGCCAGUCGCGCGCCUUUGCAGGGCCUACAAGUUGAGGAUGGUGGGGGAUUGCACAUAUGGUGCAUGCGUGACCUAAGCUGCGACUAUGUUAGAGUAGAACUGCGGAGAAGCCUCGGCUCUCGUGCCCUGCCUCUGAUGAAGCCUGUGUUGGUAUGGUGCUGGGUGCAGAUGCAGUGUGGCUCUGGAUAGCACCUUAUGGACAGUUGUGUCCCCAAGGAAGGAUGAGAAUAGCUACUGAAGUCCUAAAGAGCAAGCCUAACUCAAGCCAUUGGCACACAGGCAUUAGACAGAAAGCUGGAAGUUGAAAUGGUGGAGUCCAACUUGCCUGGACCAGCUUAAUGGUUCUGCUCCUGGUAACGUUUUUAUCCAUGGAUGACUUGCUUGGGUAAGGACAUGAAGACAGUUCCUGUCAUACCUUUUAAAGGUAUGGAGAGUCGGCUUGACUACACUGUGUGGAGCAAGUUUUAAAGAAGCAAAGGACUCAGAAUUCAUGAUUGAAGAAAUGCAGGCAGACCUGUUAUCCUAAACUAGGGUUUUUAAUGACCACAACAAGCAAGCAUGCAGCUUACUGCUUGAAAGGGUCUUGCCUCACCCAAGCUAGAGUGCAGUGGCCUUUGAAGCUUACUACAGCCUCAAACUUCUGGGCUCAAGUGAUCCUCAGCCUCCCAGUGGUCUUUGUAGACUGCCUGAUGGAGUCUCAUGGCACAAGAAGAUUAAAACAGUGUCUCCAAUUUUAAUAAAUUU